GACGAACGCUGGCGGCGUGCCUAAUACAUGCAAGUUGAGCGAUGAAGAUUGGUGCUUGCACCAAUUUGAAGAGCAGCGAACGGGUGAGUAACGCGUGGGGAAUCUGCCUUUGAGCGGGGGACAACAUUUGGAAACGAAUGCUAAUACCGCAUAACAACUUUAAACAUAAGUUUUAAGUUUGAAAGAUGCAAUUGCAUCACUCAAAGAUGAUCCCGCGUUGUAUUAGCUAGUUGGUGAGGUAAAGGCUCACCAAGGCGAUGAUACAUAGCCGACCUGAGAGGGUGAUCGGCCACAUUGGGACUGAGACACGGCCCAAACUCCUACGGAGGCAGCAGUAGGGAAUCUUCGGCAAUAGACGAAAGUCUGACCGAGCAACGCCGCGUGAGUGAAGAAGGUUUUCGGAUCGUAAAACUCUGUUGGUAGAGAAGAACGUUGGUGAGAGUGGAAAGCUCAUCAAGUGACGGUAACUACCCAGAAAGGGACGGCUAACUACGUG
rnacentral:rRNA from 1 species